rnacentral:rRNA from 1 species
CACGUAGGGCGCAAGCGUUGUCCGGAAUUAUUGGGCGUAAAGAGCUCGUAGGCGGUCUGUUGCGUCCGCUGUGAAAACUCGGGGCUUAACCCCGAGCCUGCAGUCGAUACGGGCAGGCUAGAGUUCGGCAGGGGAGACUGGAAUUCCUGGUGUAGCGGUGAAAUGCGCAGAUAUCGCCUGGAACGCCGAAGGUGAAAACAGUCUGCUGGGGGUGUGCCGACGCUGAGACACGAAAACCAGGGGAGCGAACGGG